rnacentral:rRNA from 1 species
UACAGAGGGUGCGAACGUUGCUCGGAAUUACUGGGCGUAAAGCGCAUGUAGGCGGAUCCAUAAGUCGGGCGUGAAAUCCCCAGGCUCAACCUGGGAACUGCGUUCGAAACUGUGGGUCUAGAGUGUCGGAGAGGAUGGCGGAAUUCCUGGUGUAGAGGUGAAAUUCGUAAAUAUCAGGAAGAACACCGGUGGCGAAGGCGGCCAUCUGGACGACAACUGACGCUGAGAUGCGAAAGCGUGGGGAGCAAACAGG